rnacentral:rRNA from 1 species
CCCCUAGUAACUGCGAGUGAAGCGGGAAAAGCUCAAAUUUAAAAUCUGGCAGUCUUUGAUUGUCCGAGUUGUAGUCUAGAGAAGCAUUUUCCGCGUUGGACCGUGUACAAGUCUCUUGGAAUAGAGCGUCAUAGAGGGUGAGAAUCCCGUCCAUGACACGGACUACCAGUGCUUUGUGAUGUGCUCUCAAAGAGUCGAGUUGUUUGGGAAUGCAGCUCAAAAUGGGUGGUAAAUUCCAUCUAAAGCUAAAUAUUGGCGAGAGACCGAUAGCGAACAAGUACCGUGAGGGAAAGAUGAAAAGCACUUUGGAAAGAGAGUUAAACAGUACGUGAAAUUGCUGAAAGGGAAACGAUUGAAGUCAGUCGCGUUAUUCAGAACUCAGCCUUACUUCGGUAUGGUGCAUUUUCUGUUUAACGGGCCAGCAUCAGUUUUGACCGCUGGAAAAAGGUUAGAGAAAUGUGGCACCUUCGGGUGUGUUAUAGUCUCUGAUUGUAUACAGUGGUUGGGACUGAGGAACUCAGUACACCUUUAUGGUCGGGGUUCGCCCACGUUUGUACUUAGGAUGCUGGCGUAAUGGCUUUAAGCGACCCGUCUUGAAACACGGACCAAGGAGUCUAACAUGCCUGCGAGUGUUUGGGUGGUAAACCCGAGCGCGUAAUGAAAGUGAAAGUUGGGAUCUCUGUCGUGGAGAGCACCGACGCCCGGCCCUGAACUUCUGUGACGGACCUGCGGUAGAGCAUGUAUGUUGGGACCCGAAAGAUGGUGAACUAUGCCUGA